UCGCGUCGGCGGUGUGCGUCUAGUUAGCAUUAUACCGUGAAACUGCGAAUGGCUCAUUAAAUCAGUUAUCGUUUAUUUGAUAGUACCUUACUACUUGGAUAACCGUGGUAAUUCUAGAGCUAAUACAUGCUGAAAACCCCAACUUCGGGAGGGGUGUAUUUAUUAGAUAAAAAACCAACGCCCUUCGGGGCUUCUUGGUGAUUCAUGAUAACUUCACGGAUCGCAUGGCCUUGCGCCGGCGACGGUUCAUUCAAAUUUCUGCCCUAUCAACUUUCGAUGGUAAGGUAUUGGCUUACCAUGGUUUCAACGGGUAACGGGGAAUUAGGGUUCGAUUCCGGAGAGGGAGCCUGAGAAACGGCUACCACAUCCAAGGAAGGCAGCAGGCGCGCAAAUUACCCAAUCCCGACACGGGGAGGUAGUGACAAUAAAUACUGAUACAGGGCUCUUUUGGGUCUUGUAAUUGGAAUGAGUACAAUUUAAACCUCUUAACGAGGAACAAUUGGAGGGCAAGUCUGGUGCCAGCAGCCGCGGUAAUUCCAGCUCCAAUAGCGUAUAUUAAAGUUGUUGCAGUUAAAAAGCUCGUAGUUGAAACUUGGGCCUGGCUGGCAGGUCCGCCUCACCGCGUGUACUUGUCCGGCCGGGCCUUUCCUUCUGGAGAACCUCAUGCCCUUCACUGGGUGUGUUGGGGAACCAGGACUUUUACUUUGAAAAAAUUAGAGUGUUCAAAGCAGGCCUUUGCUCGAAUACGUUAGCAUGGAAUAAUAGAAUAGGACGUGCGGUCCUAUUUUGUUGGUUUCUAGGACCGCCGUAAUGAUUAAUAGGGACAGUCGGGGGCAUCAGUAUUCAAUUGUCAGAGGUGAAAUUCUUGGAUUUAUUGAAGACUAACUACUGCGAAAGCAUUUGCCAAGGAUGUUUUCAUUAAUCAGUGAACGAAAGUUAGGGGAUCGAAGACGAUCAGAUACCGUCGUAGUCUUAACCGUAAACUAUGCCGACUAGGGAUCGGGCGAUGUUCUUUUUCUGACUCGCUCGGCACCUUACGAGAAAUCAAAGUUUUGGUCUGGGGAGUAGCACAGC
rnacentral:rRNA from 1 species